rnacentral:misc_RNA from 1 species
UCUCCGUUAGUAAACUAGCGGAGGGAUCAUUGCCGAGUCUCCGACUCCAAACCAUCGCGAACAUACCACGUCGUUACCUCGGCGGGCGGCUCUAGGGCGGAGCCUGUAGCCCCUAUUAAAGGGGUGCCCGCCAAGAGGCCCACCAAACCGUGUCGUAUCUUAUCACUAUAAGCACCCACGAGAGCGGAAAGUCA